GACGAACGCUGGCGGCGUGCUUAACACAUGCAAGUCGAACGGAAAGGCCCUGCUUGCAGGGUACUCGAGUGGCGAACGGGUGAGUAACACGUGGGUGAUCUGCCCUGCACUUCGGGAUAAGCCUGGUAAACUGGGUCUAAUACCGGAUAGGAGCCAUUUUUAGUGUGAUGGUUGGAAAGUUUUUUCGGUGUAGGAUGAGCUCGCGGCCUAUCAGCUUGUUGGUGGGGUAAUGGACUACCAAGGCGGCGACGGGUAGCCGGCCUGAGAGGGUGGACGGCCACAUUGAGACUGAGAUACGGCACAGACUCCUACGGGAGGCAGCAGUGGGGAAUAUUGCACAAUGGGCGCAAGCCUGAUGCAGAGACGCCGCGUGGGGGAUGACGGCCUUCGGGUUGUAAACUCCUUUCGCUAGGGACGAAGCUUUUUGUGACGGUACCUAGAUAAGAAGCACCGGCUAACUACGUG
rnacentral:rRNA from 1 species